UACGGAGGGUGCAAGCGUUGUCCGGAUUUAUUGGGUUUAAAGGGUGCGUAGGUGGCCCUGUAAGUCAGUGGUGAAAUAUCUCAGCUUAACUGAGAGGGUGCCAUUGAUACUGCAGGGCUUGAGUACAGAUGAGGUAGGCGGAAUUGACGGUGUAGCGGUGAAAUGCAUAGAUAUCGUCAAGAACACCGAUAGCGAAGGCAGCUUACCAAGCUGUAACUGACACUGAGGCACGAAAGUGUGGGGAUCAAACAGG
rnacentral:rRNA from 1 species